rnacentral:rRNA from 1 species
GUGCCAGCCGCCGCGGUAAUACGGAGGGUGCAAGCGUUAUCCGGAUUCACUGGGUUUAAAGGGUGCGUAGGCGGGCAGGUAAGUCAGUGGUGAAAUCUCCGGGCUUAACCCGGAAACUGCCGUUGAUACUAUCUGUCUUGAAUAUCGUGGAGGUAAGCGGAAUAUGUCAUGUAGCGGUGAAAUGCUUAGAUAUGACAUAGAACACCCAUUGCGAAGGCAGCUUACUACACGAUCAUUGACGCUGAGGCACGAAAGCGUGGGGAGCAAACAGGAUUAGAUACCCUGGUAGUCCACGCCCUAAACGAUGGAUACUCGACAUCAGCGAUACACUGUUGGUGUCUGAGCGAAAGCAUUAAGUAUCCCACCUGGGAAGUACGAUCGCAAGAUUGAAACUCAAAGGAAUUGACGG